AUGGACAAAACAAAUAAUGUAAACAAAAAAGAAACAAACAAACAAAAAAACAAUUUCAUGGGCGGCAUCGACCGAUAUCCAUCAAUUCUGAACCUUAUCCUCAGCAUGGUCUCACUCCUCCUCGAAGCACCUGACGGCGUUGUCGGGGUCGAUGUCGCUGCAGAGCGGCAGGUCGGCGGGGAGCGCCUCCAGGCUGAGGUUGGCGUCCCUCAGCGCGAACACCACCUCCUCGAACAGAAGCCGGUUGCCGGUCGGAGUGAGGUGCAGCCCGUCCCUGAGGAACGCCGUCUCCCACCCGGGGAACUCCUGCAUCCGGGACCAGAGGUCGAUGGCCCGGAGCCCGCGCUGGCGCGCCACCUCCACGCACGCCCGCGCGUACCGGCCGGCCGCCUCGUUGGUCCGCUCGGGCAGGCCGGACGCGUCCCCGUUGCGCGGGAACCGGACGCGGCCGCGCUCGUCGACGGGGGGCGGCGUGACGAGGAUGAGCGCCGCCGACGGCCAGCGCGCGCGGAGCAGCGCGCAGAUGGCGCGCAGGUUGUCCCGGUACUCCGGGAGCGGCACGUGCUGGAACGCGCUGGCGCGGUCGGGGAGCGACGCGUCGUUGGCGCCGAAGAAGACGGUGACGGCGGCGACGGCCGCCGACGCCGGGAUGGCGGAGAACGCGCGGUCGGCCACCAGGGACGCCCAGCGGGUGUUGUAGCCGCUGUAGCCCCGGAGGACGACGUCGGCGGAGCGGGAGUAGUGGUUCGCCAGGUGCGCGCCCCACCCGCCCUCCCCGAACGACUCCUCCGUGAUGGAGUCGCCGAACAGCAUGAUCGACGGCCUCAUGAUGAUGACCCUCGAGCUCAAGCUUCGCUCGUGCUAGCUGGUCAAGUUCGAUCGAUGAGUGGCAUGGCGCGCGGAAGGUUGUAUAUAGACAGGAAGCGAGAGGCGGCUGCAUGGGGGAGCGAGCCGGGUUGGCCGUACGCACGCACGUUGAAUUCGUCGGCUGAUCGGUUCAGUGCACGGACGAAAGGAACAAAAUACCAGUCUCGAUCGUCUUGGUUUGUGGCGACGUCGCUUCUGUCGGACGGACACAUCGAGUAUGGAAAAUCAAACUGCCCUCGUCUCCUUAUCGUUUUUCGGUACCGCCUCUGUGCUGCUAGAACAUUCCUUUCCCGUGGGCGCGUGUAUGAGCGGUGA
rnacentral:rRNA from 1 species